AAGGGGGAGACACGAGAACUGCUAAAUCACACAUCCGACCCUAACCUGUCGGCCCCCUUA
rnacentral:tRNA from 1 species